AGCGAACGCUGGCGGCAGGCUUAACACAUGCAAGUCGAGCGGCUGUAGCAAUGCGGCAGCGGCAGACGGGAGAGUAACACGUGGGAACGUACCCUUCAGUUCGGAACAACCAAGGGAAACUUUGGCUAAUACCGAAUACGUCCGUAAGGAGAAAGAUUUAUCGCUGAAGGAUCGGCCCGCGUCUGAUUAGCUAGUUGGUGAGGUAACGGCUCACCAGGGCGACGAUCAGUAGCUGGUCUGAGAGGAUGAUCAGCCUCACUGGGACUGAGACACGGCCCAGACUCCUACGGGAGGCAGCAGUGGGGAAUAUUGGACAAUGGGCGCAAGCCUGAUCCAGCCAUGCCGCGUGGAUGAUGAAGGCCUUAGGGUUGUAAAGUCCUUUUAACGGGGAAGAUAAUGACGGUACCCGUAGAAUAAGCCCCGGCUAACUUCGUGCCAGCAGCCGCGGUAAAAC
rnacentral:rRNA from 1 species